ACUCCUACGGGAGGCAGCAGUGGGGAAUAUUGCGCAAUGGGGGAAACCCUGACGCAGCAACGCCGCGUGAGUGAGGAAGGCCUUCGGGUUGUAAAGCUCUGUCAGAUGGGAAGGAACCCGUAGUAGGUCUAAUAGGCCUAUUGCCUGACGGUACCAUCAAAGGAAGCACCGGCUAACUUCGUGCCAGCAGCCGCGGUAAUACGAAGGGUGCAAGCGUUAUUCGGAUUUAGCUGGGCGUAAAGCGCGCGCAGGCGGAUUGGUAAGUCAGAUGUGAAAUCUCGGGGCUCAACCUCGAAACUGCGUCUGAAA
rnacentral:rRNA from 1 species